GAACUGGGAACGCAGCGCACUCUUUAUUGAGACCCUGCACACCUUCGGAAAUUUCAACGAACAGUGUGGUCUAAAGGAAAGAGAAGUCGUAACAAGGCAUCGGUAGGUGAACCUGCAGAAGGAUCAA
rnacentral:rRNA from 1 species